AGAACAUGAGCCCGUACACUGUCCAUGCCGCUGGGUUAGCCCAGUACACCCACCUCCACCAUAUCGGGAUCAGCUGCAUCCACAUUGCCACAUUGUUGUUGUUCAUUAGGAAUUAAAUGAUGCCCAAUGUGCCUAUAUUCUCUCUAGUUAGCGUUCUCAUUAAAGUGAAAAGGUUAGGGGGUUAAUUGACAGAGUGAGACUAGUACCUCUCUUCCAAUGAUGAAGCCGGAGAAGACGUUCCAAAAGAUGAAGAUAAGGAAGGACAAUCCGGCAGCUAUCUCAAGAUCCACGGUGUUUGGCGCUGGUUGCCCCAGCUCUUCAAUUAGAAGCAUGUUCUCCCUGCAGAAACAAGGGAGGAGCUCCGGUAAAUUUCUGCAUAGUCCACUCCAAUCACAUAUUCUGUUAUGUGUGAACUUAUAUCCAACACCCAUGCUGCUGGGUUUUGUCCCUCUUUUAUUCUAGGAACACCAGCACGGGCAUCCAAGCCAGUGGUUGGCUCGUCCAUGAAUAUAAUGGAAGGACUAGCUACCAGCUCCACUGCUAUUGUUAGCCUUUUUCGCUGCUCAGCUGACAGGCCAGUUGCUCCUGCUAUUCCCACCAUGGCAUUCUUCAGUCCAGUCAAUUCAACUAGGUCCAUUACUUCAUCUAUAAACAUCUGAAACGUGCUUGUAGGAAAAUCUUGUUAGAUCUAUUGUUAUAUAUUAGCUUCAAAGAUGAUAAAGAUUGCAAAAGGUCAAUGCUUAUACAUCUCUUUGGCGAGAGUUAACGUUCGAAGGAAGUCGAAGCCAUGCCGAGAACUGUAGUGACUCAUGCACAGUGAGGUUAGGGGAGUGAAUGUCACUCUGUUCACAGUAGCCCGAGAUCCUUGAGAAUGUGUCCUGCUUCUUUGGGUAUCCUGCUAUCCUAAUAGUACCUUCAAUAUAUCCUCCAGUUUUUCUUCCAGCCAAAACGUCGAGCAAUGUUGUCUUUCCAGCACCAGUGAUCCCCAUCAGAGCUGUUAACACCCCUGGCCUGAAAACACCACUGACAUCUUGCAGCAGUUGAAGCUUUUUCUCUGUUACUCCAUACUUCAUCAUUUCCUGGUGGAAGAUAUGCAUAUGUUUGGUCAAACGUGACUGGAAAUGAAAUGGAUGCAAGUAUUCAGUAAGGCACUAUGUGCUCAAGAUGUUACCUUAGGCAUGUCAACAAAAUAGUUGAUAUGAUCAAAUACAAGGGAAAGAGGCUGAAACGGGAGGGCAACUUGACCAGUUGAUGCAUUGCGAGUUCCAACUUUCUGUUUCUUGCACUCCGUUUUUGUCUUCGUGGAAUCGAUAUUAACUUGAUGCUUGUGUGGAGCUACAAAUUAUGAACAAAUGUGAUGGAUUUUGUUUGCAUUUAUGUUUCAAUACUUAUGAGGAUUUUGAUAGCUUUGGUAUACAUACAGUUCAUGAACUCUAGUGCAAAUAUAGUGAGGAUGUUGAGGACCAGCGAGAAUCCAAAUAAAAUGCCGACACAAAUCCAGUACCAAUGCCACUCUGUGAGCAACCCCCUGAUCUUGAGGAUAGCUUCACCAACUGUUUUAGCAUUUGCAUAGUAAAAUUCCUGUCAGCAUGAAAAAAUCAUCAUCAGGUCAUAACUAAUUGCACGGGUUAUGUACAUUGGAUCAAGAAUGUUAGUUGAAACAAUUGCUUACACUAGCCCAUCUUUCAUCAAGGAACUCAUUUAGGGCAACAGCAUUCUGUGCAUAGGUGAAUGGGGAUGUCCAGUAUCCCCACUGCAACCAUGGUUGGAGGUUAUCUGUUUCAAUGUACAAAACUGAUUGCUAUGAGAGCUGCGGUGCCUAGCAUGUUGGCCAUUACUUGUGUCCUUCCUAUUGCCGCUAAGAAACGAUAGAGGCCCAUUGACAUUUGAUGCAUGGCAAAAAGUACCAAAAACUGCUGGAUGAAUCUGCAAGAAGCAAGAGAUCGUCUUUCGCAGGUCGUGGGAGAUAGGAUGAACGAAAAGAUUCUGCAAAUUUUUCGAUUGACCGGUAAUCGUGGAUUACUUUGGCUGUGUUAGGGGCGUUCUCAGGCUCUACUGUGUAGGAGAUGCUGGCGCGUGCUGUCCAUCUCAUGAGAAAUCAACUAGCAAGGUUAUCAGAUGCUGUCAAAACGAACCUUGGCUAACCUGCUCGAGGACUGUAUUAAAGCCGUUGCCGUCAUCCUCGUAGCUGCUGUCGUCUUCUACACCGAAUGCUACCUCAGGAAUGGCCACGCUACGUUCAUGAAAAUUGUAAAGACCCGGUACCAAAAUGGAAAAUUCCCCAAGCUAGACAUGUGCUGUGAUGGUUGUGCUGUCCAGAAGACUCUGUUUAAGGUUGGCUUAGUUGGGGCCAACCUAUUUGUACCAACAUUUCUUUUAGCAACUAUAGUAUUUGUGUAAACAUAUGACCAUGUUUUUUUUUUCUUGAUGGACAUAACGCCAUGUUUAGUGUA